UUUUCUUCUUAGACACCGUAAAACAAAAAACCCUAGGGACUGACCUAAGGAGACCCCUUCAUCUUCUUCUUAACCAGGAGCACACCCAAAACCUAACACCUAAUAGCCCAGCCGCCAGUCCACCUCUCACCACCGGUUGCUCACACCGAACAGCCACCACCCCAACUCCCUCCUCUCAAAUCUGCCGCAACAAAACCAGCCGCACACCACCAUGACCACAGCCGCCGCCCGCCAGACCUCAUACCAACCAACCAACGAACUCCCUCAUCCCAAUAAUGAGCCAGCCACUGACCACUCAGACGCCAGCGCCCACCACCUCUUCAUCACCUUCAGCCAACCAACCGCACACCACCAAGACCACAGCAGUCACCGACCUUACUCCUCUAGUCCCUUCACGCCGACCAGUCACCGAAUUUGAUCACUGGUGGGUCUGGUCGGCCACACACGGCCAGAAAAAUUUAAAAAAAAAAAAGAACAGAGGACAAAGAGCAAAAACAGAGGGAGUUUUAGAAGAGCAAAACUUGAAAAAACUUCAGCCGAUAGCUUUCAGAUCUAGUGGAAAUUCCAAAAACGAAAUAAUUCUUGUUUCGUGUAGUCAUUUCUAAGAAGAAAUUGAAAUGGAGUAGCCGAGGUAUUUGGAUUCGAAUCAAAAUUUUCCGGCGCUUGGUUAGAGUUCGAGGUUGCAGGCAAGGUCUCCGUUCAAGGUCCCUGUUUUCAGCUUAAAAUUCAAGAGAACAUUGAUUUAUUGAGAGCUCGAGCAUGACAGAUAUCUCAGGACUAUCGCAUUUGGGAGCUUGUUUGAAGAGACCUUUUAUAUUUUUGAGUCUUGUCUUGUCUUGUAGUUUUGAGUCUUUUAGGUGGUGUAAGAGUUUGGCGAGUCUUUUGUCAUCGUACUUCCCAUUUUGUAUUUGAAAAAAAAACGGUUAUAAAUGAAAUGUUCAAAAAGAUUUUUGUUUUCAGUU